GGGGAUUUAGCUCAGUGGCAAAAGCGCCUGCUUUCUAAGCAGGCAGUCAUGAGUUCGAUCCCCA
rfam:Cavia porcellus supercont2_0 genomic scaffold, whole genome shotgun sequence.